rnacentral:piRNA from 1 species
UUGCCAGUGGAAUGGAAUUGUGACCU